UAGACUACUUCAUCUACUGCUUUUUGACUCCAUUUUCUUACAAAAAAAAAAUGUUUGUGCCUUUCGAGUUUAUAGAAAAUGACAAUGAUUUGUUAAUUUUUUUCUCGUUUUUCAACAGAAAGCUCAAAAUUUCUAAGGUUAUAAGAGAUCCCAAGACUGAGAUUUUUAAAAUCAAUAGCAAAAUUUACUCAAGACUCGCCCAAAAAUCGUAAAAAUAAAAAAAAAUUGGCGAUAGUUUGCCAGUUCCUAUAAGAUAACAAAUAAAAAAUUGAUUUAUUUUUUAACUAAAUGAUAUUUUCUCCAUAAUCACAAGUAUUUAUUAAUUGAACGUAAUUAAACCUAGGGAGGGAAUGACGCACUUUCCGACCUCUGGAACGCUACGAGCAGUUUUAUUACUAUAAUGAUUGUCUAUAAAGAUUAUUUUAGGUUGAAUUUAUCAUUUUUUACCACUUUUCGUGAAUUAAUUAAAAUUGAUGAAUAUUUAUUUACUAGAUAGGUAUAUAAGAAGGAACAUUUUUACCUCUUCUCGGUCAGAAAUAUGGCAAAAUUGUUACUGGUGGUAUUUGUAAUGACCGCUUUCAUGGCAUACUUAGCACAUGCUCUCCCACAGCAAGGACAAAAGGACGAUUUCAGGUUUGAACCUUACUGAUUUUCUGAAAAAUUGCUGAAACUGAAAAAAAUCUAAUAAAACUUUAUUAAACAAAAAAAA